CAAACUCUAUUUAAAGAGUCUCUAGAAAAACCCAAAGCCAGCAGAGGAGACAAAAACAAUGACACUGGAAGAUAUUUUAGCUUCUGACACCAGAGCUAAAGAAACAAUAUGCAUAGACUAACUCUAGCCAGAAAAGCAUGAAAACACAAACCCUCACAUUACCUCUGUUCCUCUUACCAGGUGUAUUAUGUCCAGCUUGCAACAACAAAUUUCAAGGUAUGCUGAAAGGCAAAAAACAAUCUGAAGAGGCAAUGCAAGCAUCAGACCAGAUUCAAUAUGGGAGACAUUCUGGAAUCAUCUGACUGGAAAUGUAAAAUAACUAUGAUUAAUAUGCUAAAGGCUUGAAUAGAAAAAGUGGACAACAUGCAGAAAGCGAGGUAACCUGUAAGCAGAAAAAUGAAAACUCUAAGAAAGAAUCCAAAGGAAAUGCCACAAAUCAAAAAGUGUAAUGGAAAUAAAGAAUGCAUUUCGCCAGGUGUGGUGGCUCAUGCCUGUAAUCCCAGCACUUUGGGAGGUCAAGGGCCAGGGAUCGCUUACUGGGGGGAAGCCAGCUGCCGUGUCAUGAGUGCCCACUGUGGAAAUGAACUGAAACCUCCUGCCGACAGCCACCCAGGUGAGCUUGGAAUUGGAUGCUCCAGUCCAGCCAAACCCUCAGUUUACUGUAACCCCAGUUGACAGCUUGGCUACUACCUCCCGGGACACCCUGAAGCAGAACCACCCAGCUAAGCUCCUCCUGAAUUCCUGACUCACAGAAACUAUGCAAGAUAAUAAAUAUUUGUUGUUUUAUCUCUUUAAGUUUUGCGGUAAUUUGUUAUGAAGCAAUAAAUAACUAAUAGACUACCCA
rnacentral:lncRNA from 10 species